AUUGAACGCUGGCGGCAUGCUUUACACAUGCAAGUCGAACGGUAACAGGCCGCAAGGUGCUGACGAGUGGCGAACGGGUGAGUAAUGCAUCGGAACGUGCCCAGUCGUGGGGGAUAACUACUCGAAAGAGUAGCUAAUACCGCAUACGAUCUAUGGAUGAAAGCGGGGGACCGUAAGGCCUCGCGCGAUUGGAGCGGCCGAUGUCAGAGUAGGUAGUUGGUGGGGUAAAGGCUCACCAAGCCAACGAUCUGUAGCUGGUCUGAGAGAACAACCAGCGACACUGGGAGUGGGACACGGCCCAGACGACUAAGGGAGGCAGCAGUGGGGAAUGUUGGACAAUGGGCGCAAGCCUGAUACAGCAAUGCCGCGUGUAGGAAGAAGGCCUUCGGGUUGUAAACUGCGUUUGUACGGAACGAAACGGCUCUGGUUAAUACCCGGGGCUAAUGACGGUACCGUAAGAAUAAGCACCGGCUAACUACGUG
rnacentral:rRNA from 1 species